rfam:Prunus persica cultivar Lovell chromosome G1, whole genome shotgun sequence.
UGCUGUGUAUGAUGAGAUCACAAUAUUAACAGUUAUCCCUGUCUGACUUUUGGAUGCUGAAGAAAUGUUAUCUGACACAGCU